rnacentral:rRNA from 1 species
CCCUACGGGACGCAGCAGUGGGGAAUAUUGGACAAUGGGGGAAACCCUGAUCCAGCGACGCCGCGUGAGUGAAGAAGUAUUUCGGUACGUAAAGCUCUAUCAGCAGGAAAGAAAAUGACGGUACCUGACCAAGAAGCCCCGGCUAACUACGUGCCAGCAGCCGCGGUAAUACGUAGGGGGCAAGCGUUAUCCGGAUUUACUGGGUGUAAAGGGAGCGUAGGUGGCGUGCCAAGUCAGGAGUGAAAACCCAGGGCCCAACCCUGGGACUGCUCUUGAAACUGGCAGGCUUGAGUGCUGGAGAGGUA